rnacentral:rRNA from 1 species
GACGAACGCUGGCGGCGUGCUUAACACAUGCAAGUCGAACGGUAAGGCCCUUCGGGGUACACGAGUGGCGAACGGGUGAGUAACACGUGGGUGAUCUGCCCUGCACUUCGGGAUAAGCCUGGGAAACUGGGUCUAAUACCGGAUAGGACCCUGGGAUGCAUGUCCUGGGGUGGAAAGCUUUUGCGGUGUGGGAUGGGCCCGCGGCCUAUCAGCUUGUUGGUGGGGUGAUGGCCUACCAAGGCGACGACGGGUAGCCGGCCUGAGAGGGUGACCGGCCACACUGGGACGGAGAUACGGCCCAGACUCCUACGGGAGGCAGCAGUGAGGAAUAUUGCACAAUGGGCGCAAGCCUGAUGCAGCGACGCCGCGUGAGAGAUGACGGCCUUCGGGCUGUAAACCUCUUUCAGCACCGACGAAGCGCAAGUGACGGUAGGUGCAGAAGAAGGACCGGCCAACUACGUGCCAGCCGCCGCAGUAA